rnacentral:rRNA from 1 species
ACGAACGCUGGCGGCGUGCCUAAUACAUGCAAGUCGAACGCUUCUUUUUCCACCGGAGCUUGCUCCACCGGAAAAAGAGGAGUGGCGAACGGGUGAGUAACACGUGGGUAACCUGCCCAUCAGAAGGGGAUAACACUUGGAAACAGGUGCUAAUACCGUAUAACAAUCGAAACCGCAUGGUUUUGAUUUGAAAGGCGCUUUCGGGUGUCGCUGAUGGAUGGACCCGCGGUGCAUUAGCUAGUUGGUGAGGUAACGGCUCACCAAGGCGACGAUGCAUAGCCGACCUGAGAGGGUGAUCGGCCACAUUGGGACUGAGACACGGCCCAAACUCCUACGGGAGGCAGCAGUAGGGAAUCUUCGGCAAUGGACGAAAGUCUGACCGAGCAACGCCGCGUGAGUGAAGAAGGUUUUCGGAUCGUAAAACUCUGUUGUUAGAGAAGAACAAGGAUGAGAGUAACUGUUCAUCCCUUGACGGUAUCUAACCAGAAAGCCACGGCUAACUACGUGCCAGCAGCCGCGGUAAUACGUAGGUGGCAAGCGUUGUCCGGAUUUAUUGGGCGUAAAGCGAGCGCAGGCGGUUUCUUAAGUCUGAUGUGAAAGCCCCCGGCUCAACCGGGGAGGGUCAUUGGAAACUGGGAGACUUGAGUGCAGAAGAGGAGAGUGGAAUUCCAUGUGUAGCGGUGAAAUGCGUAGAUAUAUGGAGGAACACCAGUGGCGAAGGCGGCUCUCUGGUCUGUAACUGACGCUGAGGCUCGAAAGCGUGGGGAGCAAACAGGAUUAGAUACCCUGGUAGUCCACGCCGUAAACGAUGAGUGCUAGGUGUUGGGUCCUUUCCGGGACUCAGUGCCGCAGCUAACGCAUUAAGCACUCCGCCUGGGGAGUACGACCGCAAGGUUGAAACUCAAAGGAAUUGACGGGGGCCCGCACAAGCGGUGGAGCAUGUGGUUUAAUUCGAAGCAACGCGAAGAACCUUACCAGGUCUUGACAUCCUUUGACCACUCUAGAGAUAGAGCUUCCCCUUCGGGGGCAAAGUGACAGGUGGUGCAUGGUUGUCGUCAGCUCGUGUCGUGAGAUGUUGGGUUAAGUCCCGCAACGAGCGCAACCCUUAUUGUUAGUUGCCAUCAUUUAGUUGGGCACUCUAGCAAGACUGCCGGUGACAAACCGGAGGAAGGUGGGGAUGACGUCAAAUCAUCAUGCCCCUUAUGACCUGGGCUACACACGUGCUACAAUGGGAAGUACAACGAGUCGCAAAGUCGCGAGGCUAAGCUAAUCUCUUAAAGCUUCUCUCAGUUCGGAUUGUAGGCUGCAACUCGCCUACAUGAAGCCGGAAUCGCUAGUAAUCGCGGAUCAGCACGCCGCGGUGAAUACGUUCCCGGGCCUUGUACACACCGCCCGUCACACCACGAGAGUUUGUAACACCCGAAGUCGGUGAGGUAACCUUUUGGAGCCAGCCGCCUAAGGUGGGAUAGAUGAUUGGGGUG